rnacentral:antisense_RNA from 1 species
AGCUGCAGGGACGCGGGCGACGAGUGCGAGCGGACAUGCUGGGCACCCCCAGCCAGUCGAGGCCCCGGGUGGCCGCCCGACGAGUCGGUGCUGGACUGGCGCGAGUGCGAGCCCGAAUCAGGCUCCUUAAAGAAAGACUCCGGCAGGAUCUUCUUCCGCCACGAGCUAGGCUUCGGAUUCAUGACAGAGUUGAAGAGGGCUUCGAGGUCUGUGUCUAGGUCCUGCGUGACGUGGAUCACUUGCUGCCCAGGCGGCGGGAGCGGAGGGGGCGCCGAGGCCGGAUUCAUCUUCUGCAAAAAGAAGGACAGGCAGCCCCCCGAAAGAAGUUCAGCCCGAGCCAACUCCACCACGUCUCGACUCCGGAAGCCCGAGGAGCCUGGAGCCCUGGAGUUGUGCCGGAUGAGCGCGCGAGCUCCAGCGGGCACUACCUGGGCGGGCAGCGAAGCUGAGCCUGAGCGCGCGGCGGCCGCCGUCCCGCCCGAACUUGCCGUCGGGCCUGGGUCGCUCGGGUGAGUCCCGAGAUUGCGGAGCUGGAGCCGAGGCUUGGCUGACAAAUCCCGACCCGACUCGGUGCCUGGCAGUCUAAGGGCUUCGGCUCUCACAUCCCCCGAGCUGGCCUAAGGCGCUAGUGCUGGGCGAAAAGGAGGCGCAGGAGAAGCAGACAGCGCGGCCGCAGCAGCUCCCGGACUGUCCCAUAAACAAAGUUUGGAGCAAACUCCCACCCCCAGGAAAGAGGCGGGCCCGAAAGUUGAGCUGUUGAAUUAUGUAUGACCUCCUAGUCCCUAGCCGGCCAGCCCCCGCUCGCCCCUCCUCUUCCUCCUCCUCCUCCUCCCACCUCGGCUCCAGAAAACCCUGGGCGUGAUGGGUACUUUACUGGGUAAGAGGAGACGGGUGCCCCCCACCCACUCCUCCCGGCCGCGCGGACCUCUCCCGCGGAGACCUGCAUCUGCAUUCCUUUGAGUUUACCACGGACUU